rnacentral:rRNA from 1 species
UGGGGAAUAUUGGACAAUGGGCGCAAGCCUGAUCCAGCCAUGCCGCGUGAGUGACGAAGGUCUUCGGAUUGUAAAGCUCUUUUGGCGGGGACGAUAAUGACGGUACCCGCAGAAUAAGCCCCGGCUAACUUCGUGCCAGCAGCCGCGGUAAUACGAAGGGGGCUAGCGUUGUUCGGAAUUACUGGGCGUAAAGCGCACGUAGGCGGACUGAUAAGUCAGGGGUGAAAUCCCGGGGCUCAACCUCGGAACUGCCUUUGAUACUGUUAGUCUCGAGUCCGGAAGAGGUGAGUGGAAUUCCUAGUGUAGAGGUGAAAUUCGUAGAUAUUAGGAAGAACACCAGUGGCGAAGGCGGCUAACUGGUCCGGUACUGACGCUGAGGUGCGAA